UGAGUAACCUGCCCUUAGCUCUGGGAUAACCCCCGGGGAAACCGGGGCUAAUACCGGAUACGAGUCCGAGCGGCAUCACGCGGACUGGAAAGUUUUUCGGCUAAGGAUGGGCUCGCGGCCUAUCAGCUUGUUGGUGGGGUAAUGGCCUACCAAGGCGACGACGGGUAGCCGGCCUGAGAGGGCGACCGGCCACACUGGGACUGAGACACGGCCCAGACCUCCGUACGGGAGGCA
rnacentral:rRNA from 1 species